UGAAUGCACUACUUGUAAGUCGCUCUGGAUAAGAGUGUCUGCUAAAUGACUAAAU
rfam:Salmo salar isolate Sally breed double haploid chromosome ssa24, whole genome shotgun sequence.